rnacentral:rRNA from 1 species
GACGAACGCUGGCGGCGCGCCUAACACAUGCAAGUCGAACGAGCGAGAGGGAGCUUGCUUUCUCGAGCGAGUGGCGAACGGGUGAGUAACGCGUGAGGAACCUGCCUCAAAGAGGGGGACAACAGUUGGAAACGACUGCUAAUACCGCAUAAGCCCACGGCUCGGCAUCGAGCAGGGGGAAAAGGAGCAAUCCGCUUUGAGAUGGCCUCGCGUCCGAUUAGCUAGUUGGUGGGGUAACGGCCCACCAAGGCGACGAUCGGUAGCCGGACUGAGAGGUUGAACGGCCACAUUGGGACUGAGACACGGCCCAGACUCCUACGGGAGGCAGCAGUGGGGAAUAUUGCACAAUGGGGGAAACCCUGAUGCAGCGACGCCGCGUGGAGGAAGAAGGUCUUCGGAUUGUAAACUCCUGUUGUUGGGGAAGAUAAUGACGGUACCCAACAAGGAAGUGACGGCUAACUACGUG